AUUCUGACUGUGCGAAGGUAGCAUAAUAAAUUGUCUUUUAAAUGAAGGCUUGAAUGAAAGGUUGGACAAAGUGUCAUCUGUUUCUUAAAUAUUUAUUGAAUUUGACUUUCAAGUGAAAAGGCUUGAAUAAAUUAAAAAGACGAUAAGACCCUAUAAAUCUUUACAAUAAAUAUAUUUUAUAUUUUAGUUUAUUAAGUGUAUAAAAUAUUGAAUAUAUAAGUUGUUUUGCUGGGGGGGGCGUGGAUAUAUUAAUAAACUGUCUAUAUAUUAAAACCAAUAAUUAUUGAUUAAUAAGAAUGAUCCUUAAACAGAUUAGAAGAUUAAGAUACUUUAGGGAUAACAGCGUUAUUUUUUUUGAGAGUUCUUAUCGAAGAAAAAGUUUGCGACCUCGAUGUUGAAUUAAAGUAUCUUUAUGGAGCUGCCCAGAAGCAGGU
rnacentral:rRNA from 1 species